GGUCGCCCUCGGUCCCUCCCCCACCCAGCUCCCAAUAAAUAACUAGAUGAGACAACUUAGGCUGUUGGGAGGCUGGCUUGCAGUGGAGGCUCUGUUCCAGCCAUGAAUCACCUCUGGACCUCUUCCUGGCCAAGGCGGGCAGUAACCCUUCUUUAGAAACAUUUCAUAUGCAAAGCAUGCAUCGGCCACAUCCAUGCUAUCUCCUAAAGCAGUCAUUCUGAAACCCAAUCUGGGGACAGUGCAGACUAAAUAAAAUUUCAUUUUGAUUUGGCCUCCCGCUGCGAACGGGACUGCUUUGUCUCAGCAGACAGAACCAGCAAGCCAGAAAGAGUUUCAAGAAUAUCCUGGAGGCAGAAGCGUCUUAAAUAUGAAAAUCAACGCAGACACUUCAGAAGGAGGUGCAGCUUCAGCACGAGUGCGAAGAGUUUCCUGAGGACUGACCACAGAGGAGACACCACCUAAGACACAGGCAACAACUCUAUUAAACGCGAUCUCUGAGAGACUCGUCUGUAUCCCGGUCAUCCGUAUCCAUUUGUCUGUCUUCCUUCCUUCCUUAUACUCCCUUAAUCCUGUUGGCUUUGUCUGCCUUGUUUUCCAUUCCCUUUCUCAGGCAUCCACUUCCAGAUAACUUUACUGAGCUACCCUCCUGCAGCAACACUACUUAGAGAAAGGCAAUCAGGGCAGGAGAGAUGGCUCAGCGGUUAAGAGCACUGACUGCUCUUCCAGAGGACCUGAGUUCAAUCCCAGCAACCACAUGGUUGGUGGCUCACAACCAUCUGUACUGGGAUCCGGUGCCCUCUUCUGAUGUGUCUGAAGACAGCUACAGUGUAUUCAUAUGGAAGAGAGAGGGGCGGGGCAAUCAGACUCUGGUCCUCACAAUUAUAAUUCUGUUGCCCAGCAACUACCUAUAUUUGAACUUUUUCACUUGUGGUUUAACUGUGUUCUCCACACUGCUUGACAUAUUAUUCCAUUGACUUUCUUUAUUUUGGGCAGCAGAGGAAUUUCUGCUCUAGAAUUCUAGAAUUCGACUACAUGUAGAAAAACAUAUUCAGGGGGAGACAAGAGUGUCUCAGCCAUAAGAAAGACUCCCUGGCUAAUGACUGAGGUUAGGUUCCCAGCACUUACAAGGUGGCUCAUAACCACUGACCGCUACAAUUCUGAAGAACCCAAUGUCUUCCAUUCCAUAGGCUCCCGCAUGCGUGUGGUACCCAUUAACUCAUUCAAGCACAAACACACACGUACACAUAGAAACAACAAACAUAUUUGUUUUUAUAAAUUUUUAAAGUAUUCGAGAGGUUACAUGAGUGAAUUCUAGUGUAUGAGUCAGGUAGACAGCAUUGCUGUGUCCUUCAUACAAUAAGAACCAAGGUUGCGAACAUCCUAGCUGACCGCAGCCGAGGCAAUGUCUCAGAGCACAUUAUGCAGAUUUCAGAGGCUAAGGUAGCCUGCUAUCUUAGAAUUCCACUUCUAUACUCAAUGGCACAUUUUGGGUAUGCUUUAUUGGCAUAUAUGUCAUAUCAAUUUCUAGAUAUUUUGUCUUAGAAAUCAGCUGAUUUUGCACAGCACUGAGAGGUUACAAAGUAGGACAUUGGAGGAUCAGAGGUUCUUCUGUCCUGUGCUGUGUCUCCCACACGGGCAAUCCAUAUAGGAGUCCUCCUGCUGCUCCUGCUGGGUAUGAGGAUAAGGAUGGUUCUGGUGGUGGUAGUGGUGGUGAUGAUAAUGAUGGUGAUGAUGGUGGUGAUGGCUGUGGUAAUGAUGCCAGAGAUGCUGCUGCUGCUGCUGCUGCUGCUGCUGCUGCUGCUGCUGCUGCUGCUGCUGCUGCUGCUGGAGAUGAUAAUGGAGAUGAUGAUGAUGAUGACAACAAUGGUGUUGAUGAUAUUGAAGGUUUUUUCACUGCAGUGGACCACUUGCUGUUUUUAUAAUCUAUUACUGGGACAUAUAUGAUUUUGAAUGUUGGUUGGAGAAAUGGUUAAAUCAACACUGAUUCCACAGCACAAAUCAACCAAGGAUUGGUGAAAACAGUGUGAACACGCACAUACAAGCACACACACACACACACACACACACACACACUAAACUAAAAGUCAUUUACAUGCAAUGCCACUUCUCAUUAGAAAGCUAACAGGGCAAUGAAACCAAGGCAUUUGUUUUGCUCACUAUGAAAUUGCAAUGCCCAUGACCAAGGAUGUGUUUGGGAGCUUAUAUCUUGAGGAGAAAGAAAAAUAAAAUCUAGAAAGUAUUAGAGAAAAGAAUUUGUUGAGAAGAGGGAGCCCUUCCAGACUGGAAAGAACAAUCCUGAUUCUCACACAGGGAAUAAUCAUCAAGAGAGCAAGAGUUUAACUCUCAGGAUGUUGUCAGCAUCUCAGGCGUAGGUGUGACUUGAUAUGAGGCAUGAACGGUGAAUACAACUAUGAGGGCAUUGUCCCCAGCGUUGUGUGUUCUCGGAGCCUGUUACCUCUCAUUCCCACUGAAUGUCUUACUGCAUGCCCAGACUACAGUUUAUACAUUCAUGGAAGUGGGGUGCAAAUGUUCAGGUCAUUUCCAGCCUGGGGCUGCUGGGGAUAAACUCGGAUGGACUUUGACGUAAAAGCUGUGCGUGUAGCUGUUUCCACUGUCCUUUUAAUCCAUAAAUCCUGACUGGUAAGUCUGUGCUAUAAAUCAGAUGGUUUGCCUCUUUGAAGAGGGCCGACAAUUCACCCUUCUGGGUCAUUUUAACCGUAGCUACCCUCGUGAUCAUGGAGUCUGCAUCUUUGUAGACGGCUGUUGAAUGAAGGCCUAUGCAUGAAAGAGUGUAAAAACACACACUUUGAAGUGCUUAGAUUUCUUAUUAUAUUUGGGGAUUAAUAUUCUAGAAAUAUUUCAGGAUGUGAGUCUUUUUUUCUGAUACAUGCUUCAGGGAUAUUUUCUGCCAAUUCACAGGAGUUUGUACCAACUCGAAGUGUCUUUGAGGAGCCGGAGAUUUUAAUUUGAUGAACUCCAAGUUUGUGGCUGUGUUGUAGCUAAGACAUCGAAUUAUUCCAAUGCCUUUUAUAAAUGUUCCCUUGCUUCGAUGCAUCCCCGAACAUCGUGUAGAGAAAACCCACAAGCAAUUGAUUGCAAAAGAUUCCAAAGCUGCAUCUUAACCUCUAAAAACCUCGAGAUCAGAGAGACUUGAGGCCCCAGGGAAGGGGGAGGCCUGGUGGCUGGGGAGCACCCUCGUGGAGACAAGGAAGAGGAGGAAUGGUUUGAGGGACUGUGGGAGUGGGGACUGACUGGGAGAAAGAGCCAACAACUGGAAUGUAAAUAAAUAAAAUAAUUUAAAAAAAGAAAAAAGAAAACACAUCGAGAUCACUGUAGACUCUGGCUAAAUCAUGAGAAAUUGUACAGAAUAGUAGCAGAAAUAUUUGCCUAGUUUUCCCAGGGUAGCGUGUCAGAUCAGUGUUAACACAUGUGGGAAACUCACUUUGAACAGAGGAUAAUUUCAGGAACGUGGGUACACUGUCACUGUCUUCAGACACAACAGAAGAGGGCCUCGGAUCCCAUUGCAGAUGGUUGUGAGUCACCAUGUGGUUGCUGGGAAUUGAACUCAGGGCCUCUGGAAGAGCAGUCAGGGCUCUUAACCUCAGAGCCAUCUCUCCAGCCCCUCCCUGCAUCUUCUAAUACUCACUGUUCUCGCUCAUUACGUUCUUGCUUAUGGUUCAUUUUUUACUUCAUUUUUGUAACAAGUCAAAAACACAGGUGAAACUCCAUUAUUUUGCACUUUUCUACCCAAUCAGCCCUAUGAACAUGUAUCUGCGUUUAGUAAGAUGUCUCCUCCUCCUCUGAACUGUUGUGAACUAGGUACUUUCUGGCAAAUAGAGAACCAGUUUUCCCCGGUGAACUGUCACUGUGUAGCGACCACACUUCAGGACAAGCCCAAUGCCUGGUAGUUGGCCAGGAGAAAACAAACAGCAUGCUUUGUGUAUGUGAUGGGGUUUUUGGUCUUACUGGGUUUUGGUUUGUUUUGAUUUUCCUGUUUGCUUUGUUUUAUUUUGGAAACACAUACACAGGGUACCUGAAAUCUGGUGGGGAGAAUCUAGAAGUUGAGAGAGAGGAAAUUAUUAAAAUAUAUUAUAUAAAAAAUUAAAGUAAAAACAAUAAAGAAUCAGUCGGGCACGCACGCAUGGGACUAUCUUGUGGUUUCUCUGCCUUAUUCUAUUAUGUGUCUUUCCCUGUAUUGAUUGAUACCAUAUUGUCUGCAAUUACUUCAGUAAUAUUCUCCCAUUUUGUUCAUCUAAAGAAUUUCCUUUAGGUUAGGACCCUGAGUUUCCAUGUGAAUUAAAAUUGUCCAUAUUUGUAGAAACCACUGCAUGAGUUUGAUAUGAAUUACUUUACCCGACAGAACAAAUUGAGAAUUAAUAUCUAAUAGGUUGGGUCUUCCAUUCCCUGAAAUACUGCAUAUGUCUUCAUUUAGUCAGGUCUUUGAUUUAGCUCACCCGCAAUGAAUAAUUUUCAGCUUUGAAAUCGUAUAUGCACCAUGUUAGAUUCAUAACCAUUUCAUUUUCUCUGUAAUAAUUACAUAUUGUGUUUUUAAGGUUUCCACUCAUUUGUCACUAUUUCAUAAAGUUAUGACUUUUUUCUCUAUGUUGACUUUGUACCCUAGAAACUUUCUGAACUUGUUAGUCCUGAAAAAUACUAUUGAAAUUACUUUUGCUUUUUAUUUAGAAAGUUAUGUCAGCUAGAAUUAGGGGGUUUUGCCCUGUAUUGCCAGGCUACAACCCUCAGUAUCACAUUCCUUAGGGGUGGUACAGACCAGCAAACAAUGCUUCUCAUUUCUGACCUUAGUAGGAAGAAUCCAGACUUUCACGUUCUACAUAAUGGCGGCUAUAGGAUGUCUCAUAGUUGGUCCUUACAAAAUUGAAACUCCCCACCACGCCCAUUUCUAAGUUUUAAUAAUGACUUACAUUGGUAUUGGUCAAGUGACUUCCUGCUCUAAUAGAUAUAACCAUUAUUCUCUUUUCAACUUACUAAUGUGAUGGACUGCAUUGAUUGUUUAUCGAAUGCCAAAUUGAAUUUGAACAUCGAGAAGAAAUGCUGUCUGGUUACUGUACAUAAUUCUUUGAGUUCAAGUCAUCAAUGUUUUGUUAGAGCUGACUGAGAGACGGUCUGUCAGGUCCUGUGUACCUGACAUUAAUUAAUGAUAAUGAUGAUGUUAAAGUAGUGAUUGUGUUGUAGAACUCCUGUGUAACUUCUGAGAAGAAGUAGUGAGUUGGUGUUUCUUCUGCUUUGAACGUUUGGUCAGGUUCACAGAGAUUUCUUUACUGGGAAAUCUUUUAAUUUACCAAUGCAAAAUCUUUAGAACUUCGUGCCUAUUUUGCAUUUGUUGAUUUUUCUUAGCUGGUUGUUCUGAAGAGUUAGGUUUCUUUUUCUUCUACAUCACUGACGCCGUAACAUAUCAGAGACUUUUCACUUACGUCUCCUCAUUUUUUACUUUUUCCUUUCCUUUUUUCUCUCUUUUCAUUUGUUUGCAGUGCCAAAGAAAGAAUCAGCAACUCUGUGUCCUACGUAAGAACUCUCCCACUGAGGUGUACUGUACCUCAGACCCUUGCUCCCUUGUACGCCACUACAGACUCUCUCACAGUGUACGCCACUACAGACUCUCUCACAGUGUACGCCACUACAGACUCUCUCACAGUGCUGCCCAUUUCAGUCUUGGAGCUGAUGGAUGGCGUCUGUCCAACCAUCUUUCUCAGGAUUUCAGAGCUGACUUUUUAUCACACCUUUCUUUAGCUUUCUGAGCUUAUGACAUUUACUUCUGAUUUGUAAUCUUAUGGCAUUUUCUCAACUUUAUUGUAACUUUCUUCUUGCUUUUCUUGAUCCUGUGUGUGGGAAUUUUGUCUACUAACCUGGGAUUUUUGUUUUCUUUUCUAAUGCAAGCAUUAAUUCUAUGAACAUUUUUCUCAGCAAUACUUUACUGAUACCUCACAAAGCUUUAUAUCUUUAAUUUUUUCCAUUUUGUUUUAUUUCUUAGGUUCUUUUCCUACAUUCUUUAUAAAUUGUGAUUUAUCAAUAUGCUGGACAAUUUUCAGGACCAUGGAGUAUUAUAGGAUGGAGAACAUAUCUGCAGUUUCAUUUUCAAAACAGUAGGCAUGUUUGUGACCCAGAAUUUGGCUAAAGUCUAGAAAAACUCUCUGGGCUCUUCUCAGUCUAUAGAGUUAGUUAUUCAUUAAUUCCACAUCCAGGCAGAUUUUUCUAUCUCAUGGACCCAGUGAUUGUUCAUUGAGUCCAAAAUUAUGAUGGUGUAUUAAUCUUCUCUUUGUAGCUCCAUCCAUGUGGAUGAGGUUGCAUGUGACUGAUACUUAAGUGUUUAGUGUGAUUAUGACUUAUUUCUGCAUUGAUUCUUAUUUUGGUGUGUGUGUGUGUGUGUUUGUGUGUGUGUACACGCACAUGUGAGUGAGGAAUAUGUGUGUAGACAUAUGUGCCUAUGUCUGUGAAGGUGUGCUAUGGACAUUUGGGCUUGUGUGUGGAGACCAAAGCAAUGCUUCAUGUGUCUUCUUAGCAUUCUUCAUAUUAAUUUGAUGUGUGAUUGGGGUUUUCCUCUGAACCUGUAACUUGAAAUUUUUCAAUUAGAGUAGCAGUCACUCUGAGGAGCCUUCCUACCUCCACUGACUUAAAUACCAAUCACAUGCAAUUUCAUCUACAUAUUAGAAUUGAUGGAGCUACUAAAAGAAGAUUAACAUAUCAUAAUUUCAUGCCUCAAAAGCUCUCUGAACAAUCACUGGAUCUCUGAGAUAGAAAAAUCUGCCUGGAUAUGGAACUAACGAAUAACUCUAUAGACUGAAAAGAGCCCAGAGAGUUUUUCUAGAGAUCUGCCAGAUUCUGGGUCACAGACUUGCACAGGACCACAUUGGGCUUGCUACCUGGGUGCUGGGAUCUGAAUCUCUACCCUCAUACCUCAAGCAGCACUCUAAACCAUGGAGCCAUCCCUCUAAAUCCCAUAUACUUUACCUUUUGUUACUGUAGUCACACUUGUUUUCCAAACUAAUACUUUCACCCUAUCCUUUACAAUUCAUUUGCUGUACCCUCUCAUAUAUGCUUUUGUAUCUAAAAUGGGUUUCUUGCAGGUAGUGUAAUGUUGGAUCCUUUUUGAAAAAAAUUCACAGUACCAAGUUUUAUCAUUUGAUUGAUAGCUACAGCCAAGAAAUUAUCAUCACUAAAGUAGAUAUUGAUAUGCAGUUAUAAAUCCCUAAAGUUAUUAUUUUUCAAGUUCUCCUUUGCUUCUUUUAAUAUUCUCAAGAUUCCAUCAUGAGUUAUUAACAAUAUUAUUAACUAUAUAAUUUUCAGAAUUUUUAGUGGAGGUUGUUUUACCAAAAUUAAGUUUUAAUGCAUGCUUACCAUUUGAAUGGAUCAAAGAAAAAUUAAAAUUUUAUCAAUUUAUAGCAGUAAUAUUUCAUGACUAAAGGAUGAAAUAUGGUAAGAAAUAGUUUUCUGCACUAAAAACAUUAGAAGAAAAUAUGAACUUCAUAGUAAAAAAUAAAAUUUCAGCAAACAAAAUGACAAAUUAUUUAAAAAGAAUCCAUUAAAACUUUAGCAAUAAUGUGCAAAGAGGCAGUGGUAUAUACAAUGAGUUUGAUUGAAAGACUGUAAAUCAUACUUCUCAAGUCAAAUAACACAUGUACAUGUCAAUAAAAUUUAUAACUAUAUAAAAUUGUUCUAUAAUAAUAAAAGCAUAAGAAUAACCAAACCUAUUCAGAAUCAGCAAGAUAAUGAAAGGGGCCUAAAUGGCUUCUCCACUUAUCUUAAAAAUUAUAACAAUUAAAAUAUGAUCCUCUUCCCUGAACAGCAAUAUACACUAAUAAUAAAGAUAAAUACUCCAGAAAAAAAUACAAAAAAGAAGGUAGAUUUGUUAUAUAGACAAUCUUACCAUUUAAUUGAAAUUUUCAAAAUUAUUAUCAGAAUGGUACAUUUUAUUUUUAUAAAUUUAAUUUUGAAUCUGGUAGCACAUAUCCCUAUUUUGUUUUACCCUCUAGCAUUUGGCAUGUUUUAUCCAUGUGCUUUAUUUAUUUAAAGAUACAGUUUUAUAUUUGUUCACACCUAAACCAUUGAUUUUUUUUAAAGUCAAUAACUUCAUUUUCAGAGAUUAUAUUGCAAUACAUCUUAAAAGGAUUAUUCUCUGUAGGACACACCCAAAGGUAUAAUUCAUUUUUCUUCUGGGAUAGAUUAUCUAAAAAUUUUCAUGUUUCAUCUUUGUCUAGAACUCCAAUGAUCAUUAAAUAAUACAUAGUAUAACAUUAGUUGAAACUCUCAGGUAUCCCAAGGGCAUAACAGUUCUCAUCAAGGAAUGGUAUUAAAAAAUUGCAUAUUAUUAAAACUGGACAUUUUUGACCCUACAAGAAUUUUACAUUGUGUUUAACAUUAACUGCCCAUUUUGUUCUUUCUUUUUAUUACUUAUUCUUCUCUCAUACAUUUCAUCCGGACCUUAGUUUCCCCUCUCUUCACUCCUCCCAGUCCUCUUCCAACCUCCCUUCUCCUUCCUUUCCCUUCAGAAAAGAACAGGCCUCACAGAGAUACCAACAAAUGUAAGUUAAAAUAAGACUAGGCACAAACCUGCAUAUCAAGGAUGGAUAAGGAAAACCAAUAGGAGGAAAAGGGUCCUAAGAGCAGGCAAAAGAGUCAGAAACAUCCCAUUCCCAGUGUUGGAAGUCCCACAAGAACAGCAAGCUACACAACCAUAAGGCAUAUGCAGAAGACCUAGCUCAGAUCCAUUCAUGUUCCCUGAUUAUCACUUAAGGGUCUGUGAGCCUCUAUGAGCCCUACUUAGUUAAUUCUCUGGACUACUGUAUUAUUGUAUUCUUGACCUCUCUGGCUCCUACGGCCUUUCCUCCCCCUCUUCCAUGGGGUCCUUCUCUUCCAUGCUAUCUCCUAAGCUCCACCUAAGGUUUGGCUAUGGGUGUCUAUAUCUGCUCCCAUUGCAGGAUGAAAUCUCUAUGGUGAAGAUCAGACUGUCCUUGAUCUCUGAGUAUAGUAGAAUACCACUAGGAAUCAUUUCAUUGGCUACUUUUGCCAGUCAUGUUUGGUUGUACCCUAGGUCUUUGGGCUAUCCAAGCCUCUGGUUCCUGGACAUCAGGUGUGGGCUCCCUCUUAUGGGGUGGACCUCAAGUUGGAUAUGUCAUCAGUUGGCCAUACCCACAAGUUCUGUGCAGCUCAUUUUGCAAGCAGGGUAGAUUCUAAGUUUUGUGCUUGGGUUGGUGUUCCAUUACAAGGGAACCAUGAGAUCUUUCUGUGGGAAGAAUAUUGACAUUUGCUUUGUUCUUAGUAUAACCAUAUCACAUUGUUACUAGGUGUGGGACCAAAGAGGUUUGGGACCAGAGGAGAGCAGGCCUGGAGAAAGAGUGGGGUUGAAUUGUAUCCAAACCCCUGAAAUCUCCAUCCUGAGAUCAGCAGAAGCAAUAUAGAUCCCCUUCUGCCCGAGACCUGCAUGUCUAGGUUCAUGUAACUCUGCACCCCACCUUUGCCCACUGGAGGAGUCAUGUAGUCCUACAACCUGAUUAAACUUCCUCUCCCCCUUUAAGAUCAUAUUUGGCAGCACUUGGGAUUCCUCCUUAUGCAAGUGAUGCAUCCCCAGAACCCUGCCCCCCCGCCAAUGGCCAAUGAUGUACACUCACCCUGAUAGCUCCUACUCACCACCCCCAAAGGUUUAAAUAGCAUUUUCCCCUCCCCAGUAAAUGAGCUGAGCUAUCUAUCUCACUGAAGCUCUUCCAGAGACUGUUCUCACCGUGCACACUCACUGAGGUCUCUGGCUGAACCUCUUAGCUUUCCCUCCUAGGAUCUGUGGGUUCCAAACACAGGUCAAUCACACUGUCAUGGGUGAGGAGGGAGGCAGAGCCUGAGCUUCAACUGGGCAAGUGGUAUAUGUGAUAUAAUAUCUAUCUAUAUAUUUAGAUAUUACAUUAGCAUUAAUUCAGUCAGAUCUGACACAUGAAAGACUGAUAAUGUGUAUCCAGUUCACUUCAUUCUGUGGAUUCUCAUUCACCUUUUUCUAGUCGCCAGAGGUAUCCAUUUAUGUAAUACAAAGUAGAUAACUUUGAAAUAAACUAUUAAAAGCAUUAUGUUCUUGUGAAUAUGUGAGUAAUAUUUAAAAGUCCCUCUCGAUUUUGUCAUAUGCCAUUUUGCAGAUGUACAUUUUCAAAGGUACUCAGAAUGGCUGGUGGGACCAGGGAACUUUGACCUAUUUUGCUCUUGUGAUAUACUUGGCCCCUUUGGUAACUUUUUUUUAUCGUGACAUUUUCUUUUUAUUUGUAUCUUUUAUUCUCUCUUUUUCCUUUUUGAUAAUGCAAGCAAGCUGCUGCAUUAGUUUUCUUCUUGUAAUUUCGAAGGUGAAGAUCCUGUUUUAACUGUAGUAUUCUGCACACCUCCACCCCUCUCCUCUUCUCCAGUACAAGAGAUUGACCUUAUACCUGGGAUGCACUCUACCACUGAGCUAUACAACAGGCUUGCCUAUAAGGUUCCUUUAAGACACAGAAGGCUUUGGAAUAAGGUCUUGCUAUUGACUCCUUCAGGCACCAAGAAAUUCCUCUGCUCCUCCGUUCUUCAGCCAAGAGAAUUUAGGUGUUAUUACUAUAAAGCUGCAGAAACAGAUGCUGUGUUUGUAACCUGUUCUCAGUCUGCUGAACGGGGACAAUAAGUGUCCAAGUUCUCUACCUACCAUCCAAUGUAGCAUAGUCCUCUUUUCAGAACAUGGGAUGAGAAUUUUCUGUUAACAUCUUUUUUAGAUAGCUCAACAGCAGGAUACCUAACUUGAGGUUUUAAAGAGUCAUCUAAUGCAAUUUAAAUUUCCAGAAUAAUAUUUUUCUUCACUUUACUUCCUUGUAGUCUGUUUGCUUGUAUUCAUUGCUGUUGUUUCUGUCUUUUGCACAUCUUAAUGAGACUCUGUGGACAGAAAAUUGGUGUCUGAGUUCAAGGUUGUUCUUUACCCCGCUGACACUAAUUGUCAUGGAAGGAAAGCUACAAGGUAUUUUUGAAAUGGAAAAAAAAAACAGAACAAAAACAUCGACUUCUCAAAUUACGGAGUUUAAACCAACAACAUGCAUCUUUGUGUGUAUAAACCGAAUAUGGGAUCAACCUAAGAAGAUGGAUUUUAUAUGCUGAAUAUGGACCUAGUUUGUUAAUUGUCAGAUUUUAAAUCUGAUAUUUAAAUAUGUGUGGAAGUAUUUAUUUAUUCAGCUUCCUCAGGAAAGUAUUCAAACACACAAUGGCCUACCCUAAAGGUGUAAACGCUAUAGUACGACAGUAUAGUCAAGAGUGAUACUUCUAGACCAUCACAAAUAUAAAUGCCGUUACAAUGUUUACAGUUCAACUCUCUAGAACCAUUUCAGUGAUCCUGUUUCCUACAAUUUUUGAGGUCUUUCAGAGGACAUGAAUACAUCUUAACUUUAGAAUAUUCCUGACUUACGACCUAUGUAGUUUACAAAGAUAAAGUAUCUGGAACCUGGAGGGACCAAUGUAGUGAUCUUUCAAAAUGUCAACUGUUGCAAAAGUUCUUCCUUGUUCUGACAAUUUCCUGAAUGUGAGUCAUAGUGUGGCAGACCAAGGAUCCAUUGGGGAGUAGAUUUUUUUUAAAGAAAUGAUUAGAAUUAUUUGAGUUGUUUUUAAUAACUACUUCUAAACAUCACCUAAAUAAAAUGUCCAUGGUUUUUUUCCGUGCUUACAGCUGAAGCUUAAUUUAUAGUAGUGCUUUGAACUGAAAAGUAGGAGUUUGAAUCCCUUGUUAUAAUUAAAAGUUUACUUUCCUAUCAUUAAUUCAUUCUAUAAUGGCAUGCACCAAAUAAUACAAUAGUAGUAAACCUUGGAAGGAAAUUUAGAUAAUAUUAGCCAAAUCUUAUUAUUUAAUAAAUCUUAUUAUUUAAUUAAUCUUAUUAUUUAAUUAAUCUUAUUGUUAAUCAUUAUUUAUUAAUUAUCAUUUAAUUUAUAAUCUUAUUAUUUAAUCUUAUUAGUCUUAUUUACAGAUGAGGAAUCAGGUCCCAUAGACACAGCAUCAAUGAUUUGUGUAGGCAAAGAAUCACAAUGUCUCUAGCUUUUGUAUUUCCCAACCAAAACAGGAUGAAGGCAGAAAUUUGGAGUGCCUGAUCAAAUCUGAAGGUCUGAUCAAAGGAAUUGGAGGUAUCUGAGUUCAACAAAUCUUACUGGAUGCUUGUCCUUAAGUAAUGGAACAAAUUCCAUACAUUCACGCUACUUGCAUGCCCUCUCUUUAAAUGUCUAAUGGAUGGUGACUAUGUAAGUGUAUGAAAUACAAUAUUCCUUUUGCUAACACAUCAUCUAUUUAUUAUGUAUGGACACUGUGGCGAGUAAACUACAUAUGCCUAUAAAAAUUCUUAGCUCUUCUCUGUAAAUUUAAGUACCAUAUGCAAGUCUACAAAUGUAAAGAGAAAAUUUGACCAUGAGGAAUAAUUUGUACAUCUAAUUGCAAAUGGUAUCCACCAGGCUUUGUGUAGACCAUCGCUAACAGAUUUCUCAGACUCUUUGCAGGGUUGUGUGAUAUUGUCCAUCUCUCUUCCUUGCUUGCCAUGCAUACACAGGGACCUCUCCAAUAGGAGAGUGGCUGUGGUUCUUCUUUCAUAUGCAUGUGCAACUCCAUUUUUCCUCUAAGGGAGCACAUGAAGUCUGACUCACCCUCCAAAGCUCCUAGUGGCUCUGUAAUGUCUUUACCUUCUGUUCUCUCCUGGUCCACUCUCCCUCUCUCCAGUCAGGUAUUCUUGGGACACCCUCCCAUGUACACAGCUUCCCAUGCCCUACAUCCCAUCCAUUUCCCAAGAACCUAUCUAGAGUUGUCUAUGUAUCCAAUCUGGGUACAGGGAAAAUGGAUCUGAGUGGAAAGCAAUCUAGUCAGCUGCUUUUACUUUCAUUGGUCACCUCUCCUUCCUUUGGCCUUCAGAGAAGCUUCCUAAUGUUGCCAGUAAAUAGUUUGCUGAGAACUUUGGUUCUUUAAUCUCCACAGACUAGGAGGCUUAUUUGUGUAAUAUUUUGCAAAGAAACGGUUACAUAUUGUUCUUCUUCGUCUUUGCUCAGUGAAAGAGAUUCCUUAUUGAUUCACAACAUAAUUAUUUCUGCCAUCACUGGAGAUAAAACUAGUAUUCUUGUUUCCUUUUAGACCAAAGCCCCUCUGAACAGCAGGUACUGGGAAUCUCAGGCUAUUGCUGCAACAGGAAAUGUGUAGGCUCAUCCAGCUUAUAUCUUUCCAAAUUUCAGCGGUCCUGAACAUGGUUCUAUGUCUUGCCAUUUCCUGCAGCUGCCCAGACUCUGGGACAAGAACACAUUUCUAUCUGUGGGUCAUGUUUCAACUCCGGCUUUCAGCUCCAUUCAUAUACGAAGCUAACAAAUCAAUCAAGGCGUCUCUGUUAUGGAUCUAUUUAAAGUAAUGUUCCUGUGGCUUGUUACUAGAUUUCGCCGGAGAAGAAAGUUACCAUCGGGACGCUGCGCUUCUCCAGUUUCACGCUCUGUAUUUCCCUCUUGUCCCCUCUUCUCCCCCCCCCCAGCAGCACUAAAAGCAAAAACCAUGGUGUGAGGGAAACACAAAGAAGGUUCCUUGCAGAGAAACACAUUCUGACAUCAAGCAUUUUCAUCACGGCUGACAGAGAAAUGGCAUGUUCAAUUUGCACUUUAUUUAUAAAUGAUAAACAUCUACGCGCACAUGCCUACCUACCUUUCACAUCCCUGUAUCUGAAACCCAAGCGAGGAAAACGACCAAAUGCACGUGAAGCAACCGAGGGGAUGUGCCGCUGCUUCAUCCAGAGCCUUUAUAAACCGGCAAACCACAAACACACCACAGGGAAACGUGCUUCCCUGUGUGCCAAAAAUGCCAGGAUGUUAAUUCACACAUAAGUGCAACUGUGCUCUGCCUUUUCUAUACCCCAAACGCCGGUGCUGUCUACAGAGGGGAGCUGAUUGAAGUUAGCAUGCAGAAUUCAGAGGCCCUGAUACUUUUGUACCCUAAAUAAUUCCUUCAUCUGAAUCGGGAAGAAAGCUCUCUUGUACAAGUGGCAUUCGGAUGUUCAGAGGCAUCGACGUGUGGGAAGAACAAAGUACGUACUUUGAGGGCUGGGUCCUUAGAAGUUUCAUGGCCCCUGUAUUUUACUUGUUAAAGUAUCCAAAGGCAAACAUCGCCCAUAGUGAUGGUUUGUAAGCAAAUCUUCUGGGAGAUGAAGGAGGGUUGCAGUGUGCGGAAUAGUCUAAAAAACCUGCCAAAGCUAUUAGGGUCCAUUGUGUCUUUCCAGCUGCUCCACAGGCUUACUUUAUCCAUGUGUCAAAAAUGCUUACUAAGUUCUUCUCUUAGAAAGAAAAAAAAAAAAACAACCCAUGAGUAAGUACACAAUAGUCUUUGUCUGCACCAAGCCUAGCUAAUGCAGGGGCUCUGCACACCGGGAUGGCAGGUGCCCUGUUUCUACACCUAAUUCUUUAACUAGCACUCUACCCUCCCUGGGUGCUCCACAGUGAGCCAGGGGCCGGCCGGGAAAGCUCUGUGCUGAGAGAUCCGCUCGAUCAGGCCUCUGUACCCAGUGUCUUGAGAAUGCUCCUCCUCCUCUUCCAAGUCUGUGCCCUCAGGAGUCUCUGGGAGCAUUCUCUAGACGGAGGUUCACUUAGUCCCCCGAUGCUAACGCCCCUGCUCCAUGGUGAUUCACAUGUUUCACUGCUGGGAGGUGCAUCAAAGAGGCCAAAGCCUUUACAAACACAUGGGUGAGAAGCAAAAAAACAAAAAAACAAAAAAACAAAAAAAACCCACGAAUAAACAACAGACAAAAAUAACAAAAAACAAAAACCCAACAAAACGAGGACAGUGUUUUGUUAUCCCAGGAAAAAUAACCACAGCUAGGAGAAAGCACCCAAACGAUAUAAAAAUAGAAACAUCCAGACACAGAGACAGGGGAUUUCGGCAGCCCCCGCUAAAAGCAGGAUUAAGACACCCAUGUAGUUUGCAUGUGAAAUCACAGAAUUCCUGAUUCAGAAACAAUAUGAAGGCCUAGCUCUCUGAGCUCCUAGCCCAGUGCUCUUCAUUCCAGGAGCCCCAGUCUGUUCUCUGUGUAGUAGAAUAUUCAAAAAUAGUGUUCUAAUCUUACAGGCUUCUGUUAUGGGCCUCAAGCUAUUUCUACUCAUGGCAGAAUGUGAAAAUACAGUGAAUGCUCCUGGAAGAAAGAAAGGGACAAAGCAGGCCAAGCAGUGUAUCCCAAAACCUGCUCUCAAAGCAACUACACCAUCCACGUGGGAACAGAAUUCCUCCCUUUGGGAGAACAGUCUCUAAUCCAAGCCCCUGGAAGGUUCCUCUACUACAUAGAGGACCAAGCCUCGGUACGAAUUUUGUUAGGAAUAAGACAUAUGUAAGCCGUAGCACCAUGGUCUACCUGUCUACCACACACAUGCAGUUUUUUGAUAGAAAAAAAAUUAAUGGAAUUCCAGAAAAAAAUUAAACAAAUUAAAUACUAUGGUAAUAUAUGUAGAGAUUAGUAUAUACACUAAAACUCUUUAACAGAAUUAUUGGUGAGAAGGUAAACGGGUGAUUCCCUGUCUGUGACCUGAGACAUUUCAUUUCUAAGCUUGGCCCACAAGUAAUCUUUCGGCUGAGUUGAAACUACCGUCUCCUGCUUUGAGGCUUUGAAAUGAAUUUCUAUCCUUUUAAACAAUUUGAGCCCGGUGUGGGUCAAAUAACUUGCAAGAGCAUUUCUCUGUAUAUGUGUUCCUUUAAAUAUAAAAUGAUUCUACUUCUAGCCUGAGUUUAGGUAAUUCUAAUCUUUUAUUCUGGAAUCCUUUGAGGUCAGGGAAUCUGCUUUGGGACUAGAACACGGGUGCAAGUCCCCUCCAGAGAUGAUCGUACCUCCUCUCAGCACGAGAGUCUCAGAAGCAGGGGCCCAGAGUACUAUCUAUACUUGUGAAUGGAGGCUUGCCUUUCUAUUGCAAAUCUGGGGAUUAUUUUUAAAAUAAGCUCUUUUUCAAAGUUGUAUCCUGCUACAAUCCAUCCUGUAUAGCAGGAAACUGGUUUUAUGCCAAUUUACCUGAUUUUAAUGAACAGUUGGCAGUGCAAAGCAUCGAGGUAAACACAAACCCAUUAACAUGACUUUUCACAUCGUCUUGUUGCUUCCCCAUUACUAAGUUGUCUCAUGGUAAUCGGGAUCACAGGAAGUUAGAAGAACAUAGUAUGCCACCAGAUAUUUUGAGGUGAGAUCGGUCUGGAACGGCCCCAUCCAGGUCUGUGUGUUGCUAGAUGGCUUUGGUGUGCUGCUGAGGUAAUAUGUGGGGUGCUUCCAGUGCAAAUUGCUAAACGAGUCAUUAUGAAGUUUUCAUUACUGGGGCUUCAACUAAUGGCUCAAAGAAAAGAUGUGUCAAGGUCUAGAAACUUUGUAGCCAAUGAGAGAGCAGAGAAAUAAUGAGGUAAGCUUGUCCAAUCUUUAGGUAGAUAAAAUUCUAAUGAGCAUCAGUAGGGGGUAAGUGCUUGGAGUUCAUGUUCAUUGGCUCCAGGUGGAGAGAGAGAGAGAGAGAGAGAGAGAGAGAGAGAGAGAGAGAGAGAGAUUUCAUUCCUAGAAAGCAUGCUUCUAUGUUCUUGUCAUGUGCUUGUUUAGACACUACUGAGUGUUAUGUUUCUGCAAAACACUUCAGAGUCUGACGGAAGCUGUGCAUUCUGCGAAUCGUGAAGCAGUACACUGAACUCUCUAAUAACAGAUGCAAUAAAUGUAUUUUGACAUGUGUUUAAGAAGCGUUCCUUCUCUUGACGCUACAAUGUAAAGAUGUACAAUAGGAAACCCUCAGACAUAUAGAUACAUUCCCAUGCAAGGGGGGUGAGUGGAGAGAUCAAGCGACAGAUCAGGCGUCAGAGAAGACUUGGUUUAAAAACCUCACUGAAGCAAGGCAUUAAAUUCUCAACAUUGGUGAUCUCUAGAGAAGUUGCCUCCUCAACACUGUACUUUGUUCCCAGCCAUCUCUAGCAUCUGCUGGUGUUAGAUUUGUCCUAACAUUUAACCCAGAUCUGUCCUACUGCACCCCAAGCAUACUACACCUUGUUUUGCCCCCAUUGACUAGUGAUAAUAAUUGGUCCUCAUUCUCUCUGUAGUGCCACUUUCCAGAGGUGAAAUAGAUAUGAUGUGUCCAAUUCUUUCCUCAUGAGUCACAUAUUUUCAACCUUCUAUCAAAAGUCCCCCUUGUUAGUUAGUUCUUCCUGUGAAAGUCAAGAUGCCACAAACCCAGGAUCCAGACAACCUUCUAUCAAAAGUUCCCCUUGUUAGUUAGUUCUUCCUCUGAACGUCAGGAUGCCACAAACCUAGGAUCCAGAUGAGAUACAUCCUCAUGAAGUCAAAUGGGAUUACCAAGCCAGGUUUAUUCAUGAAUGCCUCUUAGCAUAGCAUAACCAAGGCUGCUCCGUUUUUCUUGGCUGUCUUCUCGUCUAGCAUUUUAUUGCAUCCUAAAUGGCAACCAUCACCUGGAGAGAGAGAUUAAUAGCCUCUCUCUGGGAAGCUCUCCCAGCCCUCUCAGCAGGCUUGUUCUUACUGGAGUCAUUCUGCCAACUGAACCCUUGAUUCCUUAACAGGGUUCUUUAAAUGAAGCUCUUUUGCUGAGUGGUGAACUUUCAUUUUUCAUAUUACAGGAUAAAGAAACCCACCCGAUGUCCCUUUCUUUCAUCUUUUUUCCCUUUUAAGAUUUGUUUUCAGUUCACAGCAAAACUGAUCAAAAGGCACAAUGAUUUCCCGUAUACCACCCCACCCCUUGGUACAGGCAUGCAUAUGCAUUUACAUGUGUGAAUGCCUACGGAAACAUGUACACAGCCACAAGCACCCCCACCAACACCCCUGAGUUUGUGUUGAGUGAUGCUCUUGGUGUUGCCCAUUGUGUGGCUUUCAGCAAAUGUAAGAACACCUUGUUUCACAGAGGGUCACUCAUUUGGCCUGAGAGUCAUCUGGAGAAACGAUAUGUCUUCCUUCUACCAACCCCAAGCAGCCACUGAUCUCUUUACUUGUACCAUGGUUUCUGCUCAUCCUGAACUUUAUAUAUUUGGGUCUAUGAAUUAUGUGGACAUUUAUGAAGAUGAACUUUUUGUUCUCAA